rnacentral:tRNA from 1 species
GCCGUCGUGGCUCAGUGGUUGAGUGUCUACCUAUGAACCAGGAGGUCAUGGUUCGAUUCCAGGUCAGGGCA